rnacentral:rRNA from 1 species
AUUGAACGCUGGCGGCAGGCCUAACACAUGCAAGUCGAACGGUAACAGGAAGAUGCUUUCUUCUUUGCUAACGAGUGGCGGACGGGUGAGUAAUGUCUGGGAAACUGCCUGAUGGAGGGGGAUAACUACUGAAAACGGUAGCUAAUACCGCAUAACGUCGCAAGCCCAAAGAGGGGGACCUUCGGGCCGCUGUCCAUCGGAGAUGCCCGGCUGGGAUGCGCUAGUAUGUGGGGUAAGGGCCCCCCUAGGUGACGAUCCAUAGCUGGUCGGAGAGGAUGACCAGCCACAUUGGAACGGAGACACGGACCAGACGACUACGGGAGGCAGCAGUGGGGAACAUUGCACAAUGGGCGGAAGUCUGAUGCAGUCAUGCCGAGUGUAUGAAGAAGGCCUUCGGGUUGGAAAGUACUCUCAGCGGGGAGGAAGGGAUUAAAGUUAAUACCUUGGCUCAUUGACGGUACCCGCAGAAGAAGCACCGGCUAACUCCGUG